rnacentral:rRNA from 1 species
AGAGAAGUUACAAAGGGCGAACGGAGGAUGCCUUGGCUUCUGGCGGCGAUGAAGGACGCGGUAAGCUGCGAAAAUGUGCGGGGAUCUGCAAACAGGAUUUGAUCCGCACGUAUCCGAAUGGGACAACCCGGCAGGUUGAAGGCCUGUCACUCAGAGAUGAGAGCCAACGCGGAGAACUGAAACAUCUAAGUAUCCGCAGGAAAAGAAAGAAAUAUCGAUUUCCAGAGUAGUGGCGAGCGAAAUGGAAACAGCCUAAACCGAUGUUGUUGCGGCAAUGUCGGGGUUGUAGGACCGGCCAUAAGAUUAUCAUGAUUGAACUGGAACGUUCUGGAAAGUUCGAUCAUAGAGGGUGAUAAUCCCGUACAGGUAAGAUUAUGAUGACAAGGCCGGCACCUGAGUAGGGCGGGACACGUGAAAUCCUGUCUGAAUCCGCGGGGACCAUCCCGCAAGGCUAAAUACGACCAGAAGACCGAUAGUGGACCAGUACUGUGAAGGAAAGGUGAAAAGCACCGUGAACAACGGGGUGAAAAAGAACCUGAAACCGUUCGCUUACAAGCGGUCGGAGUCCCGCGAGGGAUGACGGCGUGCCUUUUGCAUAAUGAGCCUACGAGUUACUUCUCACCGGCGAGGUUAAGCACUUCAGGUGCGGAGCCGAAGCGAAAGCGAGUCUGAACAGGGCGCUUAGUCGGUGGGAGUAGACGCGAAACCUUGUGAUCUACCCUUGGCCAGGUUGAAGGAACCGUAACAGGUUCUGGAGGACCGCACCAGUUUCCGUUGAAAAGGAUUUGGAUGAGCUGAGGGUAGGGGUGAAAGGCUAAUCAAACUGGGAGAUAGCUCGUACUCCCCGAAAUGUCUUUUGGGACAGCCUCGAUUUAGCUUGCAUGAGGUAGAGCUACUGAUAGGAUGCGAGGGCUUCACCGCCUAUCAAAUCCUGACAAACUCCGAAUGCGUGCAAGUGAUGAUCGGGAGUGAGUCGCCGGGUGCUAAUGUCCGGUGGCGAGAGGGAAAGAGCCCAGACCAACAGCUAAGGCCCCCAAUGGUGUGCUAAGUUGAUAGAACGAUGUUCGGUUGCCUAGACAGCUAGGAUGUUAGCUUGGAAGCAGCUAUUCAUUUA